AACUGGCCUGUGUAAGCGGAUGGGCUCGGCCUCAAGGACAGGGUGCUCGGCUGAAAAAAAAGCUAGCGGCGAUCACCGGUGCCAGGGCUCUCCAGAAACGGAGCCCAUCUAACCAAUGCCCAGCACACUCGCUCUGCUCCACACACGAGACCACCUCCGACCCGCACUAAGUUGGCCAACUGCACUCUGGAGGCGGCGGCAGCCAGCGAGGGAGAAGGGAAAGGCUGUCCCGGGACCCCGAGGAGGACUGCCCCGCCCCCGGGAACCGGGUGCGGCGUAAAACAACCCCGGCUCCGGGCCGACCCUUCCUGGCCCCUUGGAGGCCCAGGCGGGGCGGCGGGGGGCGACGCGGCAGGGGUCUCCGCGCCCAGGCUCCCGCGGAGCGGCCACACGUGGAGGUUCCCACUUUGGGGUCGCGGCCGCAGCAGCACCGGGCGGGAUGCUGUCCGCGCUGCCCGCGUACGGCCGCGGCCUGAGUGGAGACGCCUGCCCCCAGCCCCGAGGCCUCGGCCCCCGUCCGCCCUCUCUCCCUGCUCGGCGGCCUCGUACUCACGCUGACUUCAUGGCAGCAGGCUCCACGCCGCCCAAACGCGCAUGCGGGACGGCUGGCUGGCGAAGACUGCGGGACGUUAGGACCGGCAGCAAGAACUAGAACUUCGCGGCUAAGGCGCGGUGCUCUGCGAAGCCGGCGGCGACGCUAAGAGCCCAGGUGAGCUCCCGCCUGGCGCAUUUCAAACGGGCCAAUCAGCGCCCGUCCGCAGGGAGAGGCAGGACCUCCGCGGAAGUGACUUCGCUGCCGGAAGUGGCGCUUGUCUCCUAGGCGACCGACGCUGAAAGGGCCGCGGAGUCGCGUGUCAGGGCUGGAGGGAGAUCUUGAGAUCACUUCAAACUUAAGUGAGCUCAGGUUCAUCUGGAGGAUGACUCGGCCUCUGUUCUCUCGUCCCACCUGACGAGAAAUACCCACAGGUGUGGAGGGGCUGGCCCCCUUCACCUGGGUCUCGACUCCUGUUUUGUUCUGCGGUUCCCAUUGCAGUGCUGUGACCCCCCAGAAGCUCAGGAAAACAACUGACUUCCUGGUGUUGCCAACAGGCAGAGAGGAGAUGCAGCCAGUCCUUACCCUGUAGAAGAUGGGGAGGGAGUCCCAGGUGUACGGAUAAGCAAAGGCGAGGACACGAAUCACCUUACAGAGUCUGGGCUUCUGGAUUUCAAGAAACCUAAAUCAGGGAAGGAAAGUGGGGAGGAAAUGGAAUGAAAAGAGUCUCAGCAAAUUGCAUACGCACAUGCAUGCACACCGAGGGCCUGGUCAUCAACAGAGGACAAGCAUUUUUCUACAAGCUCCUGUGGCCAGCAGCUUCUCCACCAGCCUCGUCCAUUCCUCCCACCCCAAUGGAAGUGACAAAACUUCAGAUGCAAAAAGAUCUCCAGGGACACCAUCUCCUGACCAUGGGAAGCAGUGGUGUCCAGACUAAGCCAGAAAGGAGGCGCUGGGCAGAAACCCUUCAAGGGCCAAGUUAUGUAACUGCCAAAGAACCUUUUAAAACUCUAGUUGCUACAGGGACAGGGAACGGGUAGGGGGAAUCGGGGGAUCCACUGCCACAGACUCUUGGGGGGCACACUCUGCAGAGGCUGAGAUGCACCCAUCUAGUUGGAGCCCAGGUAUUAUCAUGCAGGAGACCUGGGUUCAAGUAGGUGUUUGACCCUUGGAGAGCUUUCUGGAAUAUUUAUACCACACACAGGGAUACUUGGCUUGGGAAAACUAAAUAAACGUGAAGUCUUUCAAAAAAAAAAAAAAA
rnacentral:lncRNA from 1 species